AUUACUUCUCAGCCUUUUGGCUAAGAUCAUGUACUUGUAGUACCUGUUCUUAUCAGUUUAAUAUCUGAUAUGCCCUCUAUCCGAGGACAAUAUAUUAAAUGGAUAUUUUUUUAAAAAGGCUCUAUUGUCC
ensembl:snRNA U2 U2 spliceosomal RNA